AUCUGAAUGAAGUUAGAUACUAUUCUUACUCCAGAGCACUUGAUCAAAGUUUUGUUUUCUGUUUUUUUUUUUUUAAGAUUUUACUUAUUUAUUCAUGAGAGAGAGAGAGAAAGGCAGAGGGAGAAGCAGGCUCCAAGUGGAGCAGAGAGCCCAAUGUGGGACUCUAUCCCAGGACCCUGGGAUCAUGACUGAGCCACUUAGGCAUCCCUUGAUCGAAGUUUUUAAUUAAGCAUUUUUGUGCAUGUGAUUAUUUGAUAAAUACCCAUCGUAUCUACUGGACUAUAAAUACUAUAACUUGCAUCCCUAACUGGCUAUGUACACACUGUGUUCCUGCUGCUUAACGUGGCCUGUACCACAAGCAUAUGAUUUUAUAAAAGAAUUACUCUAAUGCAGAGGAUUGUAACUUAAGAAUUUCACAAAUGGGAUUUGGGGUUAGGGGUUAUCUAUAAAACCCCUGAAGUUGUGUAGAAUUUUGAGAAUAUAUAUCUUAUGUUUUCCUGGGAAUAGAAUCUAUAGUUUUCAGUUCAUUAAAGGCUAUAUCACAUCAUGCCUUAGUUCUUACUUACUUGCCUGCACCAAGUACAUAACAUUAGUACUGGAAUGGUAUUGUUGUGCAAGAUAGAAAGUGAUUUCCACACAUUCCAAGAAAGCAACGGUAGUUAGGGCCCAAGCGUUUUUUAAGAAUGGAAGAAAACAAGACAUCAUAGGCCUUCGUUUUGGAAGGCUUUAGCAAUGUGCACAAACCCUGACUUAAGGAAUAGUUUUCCAGUUUCAGAUAUGUAUUUUUCGAUUUCCAGAAAUGAGUCAACUUGAAUAUCAGUGCAUAAACACAGGAGGUUAGCUAGCAGAAGGCGUAAAUAAAUGUCUCCAUGGCCUAUAGUCAAAGGGAAUGAUUUUUUAGAUAUUUUUUCUCAGAAGUUCAAAAUGACUUGCUAAUAUUCUUAGCAAAAUAAUUUGUAAAUAUUGCCCCAAUUACAGUUGGACCAUUAGCCCCCUACUAUUUUCUAAUGUGCUGUUUAACCUUACGUAAGAAUACAUAAUGUGCUUUCUAGUUUUGAACAAAGACAUCUGCUUUGAUUUAAUAACAUCACCUCAUAUUUAUAUUGCAUCUUCCUGUAGGAAGCCUAAAAUGCUUCAUAGUUGUGAUUGCCUAAAUUCUUACAACGUUGCUUGUAAAUUAGUGCAUUUUUAGAUGGAGGAACUGAGGCAGAGUUGCACAAUUAUGUCUGGAAAUUGCAAGUAGAAUCUGAGUCAGUCUUUAAUUCAGCAAGAUUAUAUUUUCUUUUGGAUAAUCUCUUCAGGCAUCUAAUUAUUUCACCAAAUUUUAUUAAGCACCUAUAGAGUUUAAGCCACAGUGUAUUCAAAGAUGAGACCUCAUUCCUGAUUAACAAAAUAUCAGACCUUCCCUCCUUUCCUUUCUGGUCAGAAUUCACUUCUUCCUUCUCCAUUAUCCAAAACACAUUGAAUUACUAAUCACGUUCUUUAAUUUGUCUUGAAUUUGAGCAAAAUUUGUGGUUAGUAACAUGGUCAGUAUGACAAUUUUAAUUAAUCCCGUUGGUCUUUUUCAUCAUUGCGGCCCAGCUAUAACUACCAUCAGUAGGAUCAUAGUAGAUGAAACAGUAGACCUAAAAGACACCUUUAAGAUGAUUUUGGGGUACAUGCUUUGAUUUAAUGGAUAGGAGAACUGAGAUUCAAUAAGACUAAUUGACUUGCCCAAGAUCCCAUCAUGGCAAAACCAACCAAUGUCUUUUUUAAACAUUGAGGAUAUUUUUAUAUGUAUAUUUAUGCAUACAUAUAACGAUGAAAUUUGCCUGCUUCAACAGAUAUGCUUAUUGGUUUACUAGUAGAGCUUCAACAACUGGUCCUGUCUGAUAAUAUUUGCCAAUUUCCAUGGUAUAAAUAAUCCCAUCAUGGCUGAUUUAAUCUAGGAACACUUUAACAACUGGCUCACAAAAUUUCUGAAAAUUUAAUAAUUAGAUUGCUAUGAACCAGCUCUGGCAUGCUACUAGAUGUGCCCCUGAAAUCAUACAUUUACUAUUAAAACAUUAUAUCAUUUUCUUAUUCUGGUUAUCCAUUCAGAGACACUCUACCUGAUUUUCUGAUUAAUAUUUUCAGGGGAAAUAAAUUAUUCUUUACACGUCAGCUUUAACCUUCACUUUCAGGAUUUUUUUGUUUUUUGUUUUUGUAGGAUUUUUUUUUUUUAAGUAUUUAAUGACUUGAUAAGUACUUAAAACUAUUUGCAAGGUCUGUCUCAAGAGAACUUUGCAUGAACCCUUGAAUAUCAGUUACCUAUUUGCUAAGUUACAAGUCACCCCAAAUACUUAUUAGCUUAAAACCAUAACCCUAUAUUUAGUUUACAGUUUUGGGUAAAUCUUGUCUAGUCAGGCCUGGCUUGUUCACACAUGGCUUCAGGAUUUUCAAGGGUACAAGAUGGGAAACUGUAAGGUCCCUUAAGGCCUAGACUUCAAACUGAACAACAUUACUUCCACAAGUCCAUCCCAGGUUCAGGGAGUGGGGAAGUAGACCCUAACUUUUGAAGGAAGAAACAACAGAUACUGUGGCCAUUCCAUUCCUUUACUGAUUUUGGGGAGUGUUUAGAUUGUUAUAUCUAUGAGACAGAGCUGAAUGCACAGAUAUGAUUGGCCCUCAGUCAAAAGUUGAUUAGAGUUUCUUUUCCAAUGUUAAAAGAAAUUCAUAACCUUUACUUAUAAACCAUCUCUACUUGAUAAUAUACUCAGUAAUUGACAAUUUCCUUAUCAGUUUAAUUCAUAUAUUUUAACAGUGUCUCUUCUGCACAUACUAACUAGUUAGUAAGAAUUGAGGUGGAGGAAGAGCUAAAUAAUAAGGCAGUAUGCCUGCCUAACAAUUGGAGACCAAGAUAAGACAUUAAGUAAUCAAUUGAUAAAUUUUAUACCAUCAUUCAAGUUCAGGAAAAGAAGCAGUCACUGGAGAUUAUAUUAGUUGGGAAAGAGUUCUUCAUAGAGAACCAUUUUUUAAAUCUACUCUGUUGAGGUAUAAUUUAUAUACAUUAAAUGCACACAUUUUAAAUGUGUGGCUUGAUGACCUUUAACAAAUAUACAUUCAUGUAACUAUCAUCAUAAUCAAGAUAGAAAACAUUUUUAUCUUUCCCCAAAAUUAUCUCAUGUCCCUUUUGCUGUCAAUUUUCCCCAAUUCCUGGGCCUAGACAUAGUGAUAAGUGCAAAACCAAAAGAUGGCUUUCAAAGAAAGUUUAGUGAAUUUAAAAAUCUGAAAAAAAGCGGACAUUCAAUUUUAUAAAUAAACUAAUGCUUUAUAGGCUCUUUAUAAAGUAAGCAACUUUAGCUUGUUAAAACUAAUAUGUACGUAUGUCAUUUUCAAGGCAUUAGUGAAAAACUGCAUCAGAAAUUCUUAAUGUUGGGAGAAUCUGUGGCAAAAAAGGUAGUUUGUCACUUAUCAACAACCUAACAACUUGAAAUAUUUGAGUAGAUUAACUCAUAGAAUGAAUAAAGCUAAUUAUUUUUCUCUGCAACCUUAUUGAUGGAUAUGAGUGUACAGCUGUUGCUAAUAUGGCAAUUCUUUUAGUUUGUGUGCUUUUGGAAUAUGAUAGUAAUAUGAAGGACGAAUUCUUUUUUCAGCUUCAUUGCUGAUAAACAUAAUUAACUCUAAACAACAGAAAGCUCUGAAAAAUUAUAUUGUCAAUGAACAUGGCUUGAGGUUUUGUAUAAGAAUACAAUUGGCUAUGUAGUGGCAACGACAAGAAAACGUUCUGGAGUAGUUACCGAAAUUAAGGACCUUGACCCAGAACAAGUGGUAUGUUCACUUCUUCUUUGAGAAAGUCUUGGUCAACUGAACUAAACAGUGUGCUUAGUAACUUGGUGAAGAUAAUAAAUUAUGUAAAGACUAAUGCAUUAAAUUCAAGAUUAUUCUUUUUUUACUAUAUGAUAAUAUGGAAGACAAUCAUAACUGUGAUGGCAUACUGAGAUAUGAUGAUAAUCUAGCAGGAGAGUUCUUUUGAGCAUAUUAGCAUCACUGCAAGAGACCAGUUUGGUCUCAAAAUGUAAAUUGGCCAACUAGAGUUAUUAAUUUUUUUGAUAUCUUCAGAAUUCUUCCAUGCGAGGCAGAAUGCAACAUGUUUUUCAAUGGCAGAUUAAAUUGAAGAGGACAGCAAAAGGUAGAAGUUUGGAAUAAUAGGAUUUCUAUAGACUGUUAUUACAUGUUCCAUAAUUUAACAAUUCCCAAUGAAGUAGGUGAUUAUCUUAUCAAACCCUUAUGAAUCUGAUAGAAUGCUUUGAAUUUUAUUUUCCAUUAAAAGAAUGUCUAGAUACAGCCAAUUCAUGAAUAUAGAAUCUUUUUAUUUCAUCUAAAAAAAUUGAUUUAAACUUAAUUAUAAACUUACAGGGUACUUUGUUCUAACUGGCAAGUAGUAAAGAAUUGAAAAUGAAUUUUGAAAAUAGUGCAUCACUCAUUCACUUCAUUUUGAUGAAUUUUUUUUUAAGAUUUUAUUUAUUCAUGAGAGAGAAAGAGAGAGGCAGAGACACAGGGAGAGGGAGAAGCAGGAACCAUGCAGGGAGCCUGAUGUGGGACUCGAUCCUGGGUCUCCAGGAUCACGCCCUGGGCUGAAGGUGGUGCUAAACCACUGAGCCACCCAAGCUGCCCCAUUCACUUCAUUUUGGACAAAGUUAAAAAUGAAUAGUCUGAGCAUGCGGAAAUUAUUUUAAAACCUCUUUUUUCCAUUUUCAUCAUCAUCCCUUUGUAAAUACAGUUCUUUCUUAUGAAUGAUAUUAAAGCAACACAUAGAAGCAGUUUACAUAUACAUAAUUCCCUGAAAGUAGUAUUGUCAAUCCAACCUGGGUUAGAUAUUUUAAUAAGAAAUACACUACUUGGUUAGCCCGGGUGGCUCAGUGGUUUAGUGCUGCCUUCAGCCCGGGGUGUGGUCUUUGGUUCAGUUCUGGAGACCCGGGAUCCAGCCCAUGUCAGGCUCCCUGCAUGGAAUGGAGCCUGCUUCUCCCUCUGCCUAUGUCUCUGCCUCUCUGUGUCUCUCAUGAAUAAAUAAAUAAAAUCUUAAAAAAAAAAAAAAA
rnacentral:lncRNA from 1 species